AUUGAACGCUGGCGGAAUGCCUAACACAUGCAAGUCGAGCGGAGUAGCAAUACUCAGCGGCGGACGGGUGAGGCAUACAUAGGAACUUGCCUUUAGGUGGGGGAUAGCUUGGGGAAACUCAAGGUAAUACCGCAUGAUCUCGCAAGAGCAAAGGGGCGCACGUCCCGCCUUCAGAGCGGCCUAUGUCCGAUUAGCUAGUUGGCGGUGUAAUAGACCACCAAGGCGACGAUCAGUAACUGGUCUGAGAGGACGAUCAGUCACACCGGAACUGAGACACGGUCCGGACUCCUACGGGAGGCAGCAGUGGGGAAUAUUGGACAAUGGGCGAAAGCCUGAUCCAGCAAUUCCGCGUGUGUGAAGAAGGCCUUCGGGUUGUAAAGCACUUUAGUGAGGGAAGAAACAGCUUGGCCACACCAAGCCUUGACGGUACCUCAAGAAUAAGCACCGGCUAACUCUGUGCCAGCCGCCGCAGUAA
rnacentral:rRNA from 1 species